UACGAAGGGGACUAGCGUUGUUCGGAAUCACUGGGCGUAAAGCGCACGUAGGCGGAUUCGUAAGUCAGGGGUGAAAUCCCGGGGCUCAACCUCGGAACUGCCUUUGAUACUGCGGGUCUUGAGUCCGAUAGAGGUGGGUGGAAUUCCUAGUGUAGAGGUGAAAUUCGUAGAUAUUAGGAAGAACACCGGUGGCGAAGGCGGCCCACUGGAUCGGUACUGACGCUGAUGUGCGAAAGCGUGGGGAGCAAACAGG
rnacentral:rRNA from 1 species